UACGUAGGGUGCAAGCGUUAAUCGGAAUUACUGGGCGUAAAGCGCGUGUAGGCGGCUAAGUAAGUCGGGCGUGAAAUCCCACGGCUCAACCGUGGAAGUGCACUCGAAACCGCAUAGCUAGAGUCCUGGAGAGGAAGGUGGAAUGCUUGGUGUAGAGGUGAAAUUCGUAGAUAUCAAGCGGAACACCGGUGGCGAAGGCGGCCUUCUGGACAGUGACUGACGCUGAGACGCGAAAGCGUGGGGAGCAAACAGG
rnacentral:rRNA from 1 species